rnacentral:rRNA from 1 species
GACAGAGGGUGCAAACGUUGUUCGGAAUUACUGGGCGUAAAGCGCGUGUAGGCAGCUUCGCAAGUCGGGUGUGAAAGCCCUGGGCUCAACCUAGGAAGUGCACUCGAAACUGCGGAGCUUGAGUCUCGGAGAGGGUCGCGGAAUUCUCGGUGUAGAGGUGAAAUUCGUAGAUAUCGAGAGGAACACCGGUGGCGAAGGCGGCGACCUGGACGAUGACUGACGCUGAGACGCGAAAGCUAGGGGAGCGAACAGG